GCUCUGAAGAAUAAUGACAAUGUGUGUGAUGAUGUGCUGCAGGAGCUGCCCAUGUGGAGAAAAACUGCUAUAAAACAUAUUCUAACCAAAAUGUAACAACCACAAAGGCUACACCUAAAUGGGCAAAAAACAUCAUCAGCUGCUUUGAACAAAACAGUCCAGACUGCCUUCAUGGCUAUGAGGUCAAAACACGUGCAGAAAGAACAUUUUUCCUCAGACCAAACACCGAGUGGCUUAAAAGGAAAAUAAAUGAGGUGAGAAACAAAAUAUUUAUAAAAAUGUGGAAACAAAGUUUAGAAAAACCAACAGUGACAUUCUAGCAAAAGUGUGACGAUUAUACUAUAGGUAAUAAAAAGACACUGUGUAUAUCUGUCUAAUGGUGCUUUAUGUCACCUUCUCUCUUUCACCACCACAGGGAACUCUGCUGUGUCCUCCAAUGAUUUCUAAAUGAUGAUGAUGGAAACGAUGAAGUAAAGUUGACGUAAAGCAGCAACUGGAACCAUUUCUGCUGUUUUAUUUGUUCAAACUUUUACAGAAAUAUUUGUUAAGAAAUGUUGAUUAUUUUUGUAAAUUGUUCAUAUGACUUGAGUCUUAUAUAUUAUAUUUAUUAAAAAUGUCAUUAAAUAUGAAUGUUUGACCGUUUUUAUUCUGUCUUCAAUCUGAGAAGAAAGAUAAACAAUAAAAGCCUUUAAAAUCAGAUUUAUAAUGGUGUGUGUCAUUAUUUAGUAUUUGCUGUAACAACAUAUUCUCAUGAUGAUGUCACAUUCACAGGACACCGGGAGGCUGUGUUUAACACAGAUGGCAGAAGUAAAAGUAAAUAUUCA
rnacentral:lncRNA from 1 species